UUUCCCAUAUCCUUAUCAGAUAAUGUGGCAGUCGUUAACUGACUAUUGACACAACAAUUAGACCGAAAGUGAUUUGAAUGCUGUUAAAACAGGAAAUUAAUCAACAGCCUGGAAAACCCAGAACUCUCCUUCGUGACGUCGUCUAUCAUACCACAGCAGAGAGUGCGAGUGGAAGAGUCAGAGGCAGACCUUGCGGGCAGAGCAGCUGGUUGGAUGAAGAGUUCCUCACCUCGCACGAAGAAACACCGUGUGAACUAACAAACGGACAAAAUAACCAAACAACUUAACUGGUUUCUUUGCUAAUCUGUGCCGUGCCGUGCCGUGUCGUGACCGGUGGAGAAACAAAGCCUGCACAGCUUCGAGAAACGAGAGAGAACAACAGUUUACAGAUCGGUGGAUAGUCUGGCAGCUCUUCCUCACACAAACCAUGGUGGCGGCCAUCCUGAAAAUGUAUUUCUUUGGAACAGCACUUUCUGUCCUUGCAGUCCUUUAUGAAAUAGCGGACUCCGUUGGUGGUCUCAUGCACGUGCAGGACCAUCACUACUUACAGGAGCUGAACCAACAGACAGAGAGGGACAUUUCUUCAAACAACUGGAGAGGGCGGCCCGUGACUAAAAACAUUGGCUCAUGAGAAGAUCGUCAUGUUGUAGUUUUUGGACAUGUUCCUCAACUGUCUGCAAGGACAUGGAAUUUUCACUGAUGUGGAUUUAUGGUCCAAAUGGAUCUCUCUGUUUGGGCACUUUUUUGUAGCCCAUUGUCUGCUGUGAUAUCUUGUAGCAGCUAUUCUGUAAAAAGCACUACUGAACACAGAACACGUUCCUUGUGUUAAAAGUACACAUUUUGUAUAUAAUUUUCUAAACAAAGUGAAUUAAAACUGUUUUUUUUAAGGGGGGUGGGGGGAUUUUUUUGAUGAAUGCUUUUGAUGUGUGUAAGUUUAUUGCAGCAUGUAGAAGUCAGAGUACAAAGUGUGCCUUUUGGUUUGGUAGUGAUCAUGCAAUUGAACUUGGAGACAAAAAGAGAAAUGCAGGCUGCCAUAAAACUAACAGGCCUUAACAAAACAUGACUUCUCUAGAAAAGAGAGAAAAAAAAAAAAAACCUUCAGGCUGCCAGCAAAAAUUGCGCAACAAGGUCCCCACUGUGUAAAGAUCUGUCUGCCUUUUUGUUGUGAGUAAGGUUUUGUGAAUCAAAUAUGGGUUGCGCGACAAAGCUGGGAAAUGAUCUGUAAAACAUGAAAACCAUGACUCUGUGCACGAUUUCAACAUGAAUAAAGAUAAAUUGUUAUAAAUAAA